AGUCCUAUGACACAUUUUCCUUGUGCUUACAUGCUUCUGGUGUGAAGCAUGGCAACUGCUUUGCACUGCACAGGAGGACUCUGCCAAGGAAGACUAACGUCUGCAUUUGAUUGAACCUGCAGAGGGAAUUAAGGUAAAAGGAAUGUAAAUAUUAGAGUCUAGACAAGAUGCUGGCAGAAAACAUUUGUACUCUUGUGGCAUGUGCCAUGAAACAAUCAUUUGCAGCAAAGGAAAGGCUACACAGAAAAGCAGCGAAGGUAAGGUGUUUGCUAGGAGGACACAGGGAAUACAGAGGGAUCCAAAUGCUCAUGCAUGUUGACCACACACUUCUGCAUUGCUUGAAUACCCACAAUGCCUGCAGGUUGAGCAUCUGCACAGCCGCAAGUCAUGCUAUUCAAAUGAUCUCCGUGCUCAUCAGCCCCACACACCCAGAUCCUCCCUGUAAUCUUGCCAUCUCUAUUUGCGACAUCUCUGCUCAGCCUCACCCUGAAUGACGCACUGCCAUUUCUUAGCUCAUUACAUUGUGUGGCUACAAGUUCUGCUGCAAAACUAGCAUGGAAAGAAACAACACAGAAGAAUAACAAGGCUGGUCCAGCCACAAAGGUGGAUAUACAGCUACUAUGAGUCAUGCUUUAAUUUCACAAUAAAGCAACCUUAGAACU
rnacentral:lncRNA from 7 species